AUGGAGAAUUACUAGUCUGGAUUCUGGUCCUCAGAGGUUCACUCACGUUAAUCAACCCGAGUCCAUCUUGGUGGGAUUGUCUUGCUCCGAGGCCCUCCCACUGAGCUUUAUUUUCCUGCCUGAUUUCGGGGUCCGCUAACAGGAUGAACAGCGGACCAUACAGGCACGGUGAAAAUGACACUUGGUGACGUGGAAGACCCAGCUUGCCACAGUUGAGGCAGAGCUCCUCAGGGUCUUUUGUCUUAGUUAUCCCCGAGCUAUUUUUCAGGAACCGACAGGCUCCCCCACCCCAACACCGGAUGAAGGCCAGCAACUGGAGGCCAGGAAUAAUCAAGCACGCUCUCAUUUCAAAGAGGUGACGAUUGUGCCCGUGUUUAAAAGGGAUGCCUGAGACCAUGAGGAUUUGGAGUUUUGGAGGCGGAUCUGCCUUUGGGGAGUGAGCGUAGGGCCCUAAGAUGUGGUUGUGCUUUGAGACAGUUCCCAGGGUGAUGUGUCCCAUCAUCCAAACAUUGCAGGAUAAGUCAAAGUUACAGAAAGACUCUAGUUUACUUCCAGCCUAACAUUACCAAAAUACGGUAUUUGUCAGAAAACAUGUAGUAUUUGUAUAAUUUGAGAAUGUAAUUGAAGAACCCGAUAUAGAGCUUUUAGAAAGGGGAAAUAGAAAACUUAAAAAGAAUCUUGCUUGGUAUAUUAAUACCAACAUCUAAAAUAUAAUAAAAUUGAAUAAACCAGUGAGUUUUAUACUAUGAUUGAAAUAAAAUGCCACUAUGUUCUUAAGAGUGCUAGUUUAACAGGAAAUCUCCAAUGCAUUAUUAUCUAGACUCAUCUCAAAGGCUCACUUUUCAUUUGCAUGGGCCCUUGCUAUUUGUAGGGUAGGAGGCAGCACCUCGUUCUGGUGGCUGCCACCUUCAUGAGGAGACACUCCUUGUUAACAGGAUGGUUAGCCCACGGCUCUUCCCAGCCCCCUUUUCCACACCCAGUAAAUUGUUUUAGUUUAUGGCCCUCAGCUGCAGUUGCAAUCAUCAUCAAAUUCCAGUUUUGAAUUUAAAGGUGAAUAAUGAAUGCAAUGAACUUUCUAGAAUUUAUGAAGGGCAGUGAUGUUCCUUUUUAUCUAAUAAUUCUACAUGUGUAGCCUUUCAGUAUGCUAUUCUGUGGACUGAAUUUACAAAUUGUCAUUUGUUUAAUGAACUGUUAAUAUAACAUGAUGACUAACUGAAAACACAUACAAUUUGCUGGUAUUCCAGAAGUCUAUGGAUUUCGUUGUUUUGUUUAAAUAAAAGGCAUUAAAAGCAGCUGCUUAGUAUACUUACCUUCUUCACUCAGCAUAAGGUAGAGGUGAAAAAACCUUCUUAAUUUGGCAAUUUAUAUAACCUUUUGUUUUUGGAAUACAGUUUUCUUCCCCUUUACAUUCGUUCUUUAGCCUAAAUCCUAAGUUUCCGACUUGCGAUUUAAACUCCACAUGAGAGAACAGGUUGGAAUUUUAUCUUUAAUAAUUUUAUUUAUAACUCGAAAGUAAGUUUCAAAAUAUUUUGUCAUAGUAACUCCUAUAAGUGUUUAUUUAAUCCAUCUUGUAAAUUUUCUAUUUCUGUAUCUUUAAUAUAUUUAACUAUUCAUUUGACUGUUAAUGACUAAAAAAGGGGGAACAUUAACUUCACUGCAAUCAGGAAAACUCUUUCAAACUGUUAUAUAAAAGAAUAUAUAUGGUGUACGAACACCCAUGUAUUUUUAAAAAGUAAAUAACAGGUAAACCAAAGCUCAGAUAAAAUCCAACUUUUAAAUAUAUAUAAUUAAUUGUUAGAGAACUGGCUAAAAUAAAGAUACAGGUUGGCUUUUCUUCCUCCUAAUGGUUAUGUGUACAAAACUAAAUUUAGUAUUAAUUGAAAGCAAAAAACCCAGAAAGGGAAAAUGGCACACAUUUGAUUUAGGUGAAAAUUAUUUACUCAUUUUUCUAUCUGCAGGUGAUUUAUCAUUUUAGGUUCUUUCCCUUCCACUGUCCAACUGGUAUAUAAUCAGUAAAUACAAACAAAAAUACCAACAUCUGUAAAAUAUAACUAGGAAGGCACGCUAUGAAACAUAACAUAGCAUAUUCCAAAAGUCAACAACGGAUUUGCUGGUUACUGGAUUGAAAUUAUACUUAUUUGCUCAUAAAAUUGAGUUCAUGGCAUAAUUACAUAAUUCUGUGGCAAAGCAUUUGGUAUGCUCUAGGGGAGACAUGUUUUAAAAACAAUUGCCUUGGGUUUUUUUAAUUUUAAAAAUAAUUACAAAUUUUAUUUUUAAUUCAGGGACAUGUGCACAUUUGUUACAUGGGCAUAUUGCAUGAUGCUGAGGUUUGGGGUAUGAUUGAUCCCAUCAUCCAGGUACUGAGCAUAGUACCCAAACGUUUUUCAACCCUUACCCCCAUCCCUCCCUCCCACCUCCAGUAGUCCCCAGCGUCUGUUUUUGCCAUCUUUAUGUCCAUAAGUACCCAGUGUUUAGCUCUCACUUAUAAGUGAGGGCUUGCGGUAUUUGGUUUUCUGUUCCUGAACUAAUUCACUUAGGAUAGUGGCCUCCAGUUGCAUGCACGUUGUUGCAAAGGACAUCGUUUCAUUCUUUUUUGUGGCUGUGUAGUAUUCUAUAGUGUGUAUAUACCACAUUUCCUUUAUCAAAUCCACCGUUGAUGGGCACCUAGGUUGAUUUCAUGUCUUUGCUAUUGUGAAUAGUACUGUGAUGAACAUACAGGAGUAUUUGUCUUUUGGGAGAAUAAUUUAUUUUCUUUUGGAUAUAUACCAAGUGAUGGGAUUAAUGAUGAAAAGGUAGUUCUAAGUUCUUUGAGAAGUCUCCAAACUGCUUUCUACUGUGGCUGAACUAAUUUACAGUCCCACUCACAGUGUAUAAGCAUUUCCUUUUCUCCAAAGCUUUGCCAGCAUCUAUUUUUUCACUUUUUAGUAAUAGUCAUUCUGACUGGUGUGAGGUGGUAUCUCAUUGUGUUUUUGAUUUGCGUUUCUCUGAUUAUUAUUGAUGUUGAACAUUUUUUCAUGUUUGUUGGCCGCUUGUGUGUUUUCUUUUGAUAAGAUCUGUUCAUGUCUUUUGCUCAUUUUUAAUAGGGUUUUUUUUUUUGCUUGCUCAAUUAAGUUCUGUAUAGAUUCUUUAGAAUUUUAGACUUUUGUCAGAUGCAUAGUUUGCAAAUAUUUUCUCCCAUUCUGUAAGCUGUUUACUCUGUUGAUAGUUUCUUUUGCUGUGUAGUUUUUUAGUUUAACUAGGUUCCACUUGUCAAUUUUUAGUUUUGUUUCAAUUGCUUUUGAGGACCUAGUCAUAAAUUAUUUCCAAAGGCUGACGUCCAGAAUUGUGUUUCCUAGGUUUUCUUCUAGGACUCUUACAGUUUGAGGUCUUAUAUUUAAAUCUUUAAUCCAUGUUGAAUUAAUUUUUGUAUAUGCUGCUAGUACGGAUCAAGUAUCAUUCUUCUACAUAUGGCUAGUCAACUAUCACAGCACCAUUUAUUGAGUAGGGAGUUCUUGUCCCAAUGCUUAUUUUUGUCAACUUUGUUGAAGAUUUGAUAGCUGUAGGUGUGUGGAUUUAUUUCUGGGUUCUCUAUUCAAUUCCAUCCGUCUAUGUGUCUGCUUUUGUACCAGUACCAUGCUCUUUUGGUUACUGUAGCCUUAUAAUUUGAAUUCAGGUAGUGUGAUCCUCUAGCUUUGUUCUUUUUGAUUAAAACUGCUUUGGCUAUUAGGGCUCUUUUUUGGUUGCAUAUAAAUUUUAGAAUGUUUUUUUCUAGUCCUGUGAAAAACCAUAUUAGUAGCUUGAUAGAAAUAGUGUUCAAUCUGGGCCAGGCAUGGUGGGUCACACCUGUAAUCCCAGCACUUUGGGAGGCCAAGGUGGAUGGCUCACCUGAGGUCAGGAGUUUGAGAUCAGCCUGGCCCACAUGGUGAAACCCCGUUUCUAUUAAAAAUACAAAAAUUAGCUGAGUGUGGUGGCAUGGGCCUGUAAUCACAGCUACUCGGGAGGCUGAGGCAGGGGAAUUACUUGAACCCAGGAGGCGGAGGUUGCAGUGAGCUGAGAUUGUGCCACUGCACUCCAGCCUGGGUGACAGAGCAAAACUCCAACUCAAAAAAAAAAAAAGUAUUGUCUGUCGAGUGCUUUGGGCAGUGUGGCCAUUUUAACAAUAUUGAUUCUUCCAAUCCAUGAGCAUGGAAUGUUUUCCCAUUUGUUUACAUCAUCUAUGAUUUCCUUCAGCCGUGUUUUAUAGUUCUCCUUCUAGUGAUCUUUCACCUCUUUGAUUAGAUACAUUCCUAGGUAUUUUAUUUUUGUUUAUGGCUACUGUAAGUAAGAUUAUGUUCUUUUAUUUUAUUUUAUUAUUAUUAUACUUUAAGUUUUAGGGUACAUGUGCACAAUGUGCAGGUUAGUUACAUAUGUAUACAUGUGCCAUGCUGGUGUGCUGCACCCAUUAACUCGUCAUUUAGCAUUAGGUAUAUCUCCUAAUGCUAUCUCUCCCCCUUCCCCCCACCCCACAACAGUCCCCAGAGUGUGAUGUUCCCCUUCCUGUGUCCAUGUGUUCUCAUUGUUCAAUUCCCACCUAUGAGUGAGAACAUGCGGUGUUUGGUUUUUUCUCCUUGCGAUAGUUUACUGAGAAUGAUGAUUUCCAAUUUCAUCCAUGUCCCUACAAAGGACAUGAACUCAUCCUUUUUUAUGGCUGCAUACUAUUC
rnacentral:lncRNA from 10 species